GACACCGGAGAGGGAGCCUGAGAAACGGCUACCACAUCCAAGGAUGGCAGCAGGCGCGCAAAUUACCCAAUCCCGACACGGGGAGGUAGUGACAAUAAAUAACAAUACGGGGUUCUUUAGGAUCUCGUAAUUGGAAUGAGUACAAUUUAAAUCUCUUAACGAGGAACAAUUGGAGGGCAAGUCUGGUGCCAGCAGCCGCGGUAAUUCCAGCUCCAAUAGCGUAUAUUAAAGUUGUUGCAGUUAAAAAGCUCGUAGUUGAAUUUCGGGGUUAGUAGGUUGGUCAUGCCUCUGGUAUGUACUGGUCUCACUGAUUCCUCCUUCCUUAUGAACCGUAAUGCCAUUAAUUUGGUGUUGCGGGGAAUUUGGACUGUUACUUUGAAAAAAUUAGAGUGUUUAAAGCAAGCUAACGCUUGAAUACAUUAGCAUGGAAUAAUGAAAUAGGACGUUCGAUCUUAUUUUGUUGGUUUCUAGGAUUGACGUAAUGAUUAAUAGGGAUAGUUGGGGGCAUUAGUAUUCAAUUGUCAGAGGUGAAAUUCUUGGAUUUAUUGAAGACUAACUACUGCGAAAGCAUUUGCCAAGGAUGUUUUCAUUAAUCAAGAACGAAAGUUAGGGGAUCGAAGACGAUCAGAUACCGUCGUAGUCUUAACCAUAAACUAUGCCGACUAGGGAUCGGAUGAUGUUAAUUUUUUAAUGACUCAUUCGGCGCCUUACGGGAAACCA
rnacentral:rRNA from 1 species